GACGGGGGGGCAAGGUGUUCUUCGGAAUGACUGGGCGUAAAGGGCACGGUAGGCGGUGAAUCGGGUUGAAAGUGAAAGUCGCCAAAAAGUGGCGGAAUGCUCUCGAAACCAAUUCACUUGAGUGAGACAGAGGAGAGUGGAAUUUCGUGUGUAGGGGUGAAAUCCGUAAAUAUACGAAGGAACGCCAAAAGCGAAGGCAGCUCUCUGGGUCCCUACCGACGCUGGGGUGCGAAAGCAUGGGGAGCGAACAGG
rnacentral:rRNA from 1 species